CUGUAAGGAACCACAAAUGACUUCCUGGAUAGACUUGUUAUGUCAUCUAAUUUCUCUUAUUUUGUUCCAUCCAUAGGCUUGCAUUCUUGGAAGGUAAAGGGAUAAGAAGCUGUGAAGGUUACGUAAUGGAGAUGAAAGGCAAGCUACAGGAAGUGAAAUUGGCAAUUCUUCUUGGUCCCUGUUUGGGAAAAUGUGAAUCUCAUCCUCUCAGUUUCUAGUUUGACAGACUAUAAGAGGAGUCUAUCAAGAAACCAUGUACAGAAAUAUCAAGUAAAAUAUAUCAUAAAAAAGGGACUCUGAGAACCUAGUGACCUGAAAAAAUGUUACUUAUGAAACUAAUGACCUAAGAAUGCCUUUAAAUCGAAGAGCAUCUAGUACAGCAAAGAGACCUUCAAAAUGGGCAUGUAAGCACUGAUCCAGAUAGAAGAUUAAAUAGCACGAUAUAUUAAAAAGCAUAAGUUUCUUUUCAGAGUUAGAGACGAAUGCUGAAAGACCAUGAAAAAUCUCAGAGACAAGUCAUUUCUGGGACAAUAAAUAGCGGAAGACAGCAUUUAACAAUGAAUUAAGGGAAAUUCCAUUCUUUCCUGUAUUUCAGCACUGCGGAAGUCUACGAAGCAGUUAAUGUUAAGAAAUACCAUUGACUAAAAAAAAAAAAAUGAUUUUCUGCAUUGGAUGUUAAAAGAUAUGAAGCAAGAAAUUGACCAUUCAGUGGAACAAUGUGAAUCCUAAAUUAUCUAAAUAAAAACAAGAGGAUCAGUUAAUUCAGAAAAAAGAAUUGUAUAAAUUCUGGAACUCGGUAGAUAUAUUCUCCUUAACAAAUUCUGGCAAAGAAUUCUCCCAAUCACUUAUUCAUUAGGGAUUGAGAAUUGACACUAGAAACAGAUAACUUGUGCUUAAUAUUGUGCUUAAGCUUUAAGCAUAGAAAAUUUCCUUGAUGCAAGGGGGUUACUGUGUCACCUCAAGUUAAAAGGCAAUUUAGGAAGUGAUAUGUAACUAGCAGUUUGAAAGUAUUCUAAAUAUUACUUGCUAACAAAAUUCACUCUCUACAGAAGGGACAUACCUAACAAAGAAUACAUCUUGCAGAUUGCUACAUAAAGAGUAAGUACAUUGACAAAUAUUAUGUACUUAAAAUAUAUACAGCUCUGUACUUAGCAUGCCACAUAGAAUUCCUUAAUAUUCCUCUUAACAGCUGUACAAGUUAACUUGACUUUUAUACGCAUUAUACACAUGAAAAAAAUGAGAUGAGAAAGGCCAAAUAAAAUGAAUGAAUGAAUGAAUGAGUUUUUAAAAUUUAUUUUGACAUGAGAGCCAAUCCUAUCAGCCUUGCUGAUUUCUUCAAAAUACUUGCAAAUAAGUUGCUAUAAUAUAAAAACAUCUUCUUAUUGUUUCUCUCUCCUUAAGGAUUUCUCUGAGACAUUUCUAAUAUUUAAAUCUUUUUUCCCAUAGGUUGUCUUUCACGGUACUUUGUAUACACUACUUUGGGUUCAUAUGCCUCAAGUGAAAAAUUGGUCUAAUAACAUUAAUACCUCUGUCACAACCCCAUUGCACAUGAUCAGUUCUAAUAAUGGGUUUUAAAGUAAUUUUGUUUUAUUUUAAAUUACUAUUCAGAUAUCAGUCACUAUGACAUCAGACUUUUUACUCUCUGUGAUAGUUAUAUAUCAACUUAGCUGGAGUAUAGUAUCAAGUUAUUCAAUAAAACACUAAUCUAGGUGUCACUGUGAAGGGAUUUUGUAGAUAUGAUUAACAUCUACAUUUAGUUGACACUAAGUAAAGGAGAUUUUCCUUGAUAAUGUGGUCAAGCCUCAUCCAAUCAAUUGAAAGGCCUGAGCUUUUCUAGAGGAAGAAGUAAUUUUAUCUCAGGACUCCAGCAUUAGCUACUGCUGGACAAUCCCAGCAUCCCAACCUGCCCAACAGAUUUUAGACUAGACUUACCACCUCAUAUGAGCACAUAGCAGAUUCCCAGAAAUCAAUCUAUCUACCUAUGUAUCUAUCAAUCUAUCAUCUCUCUCCUACUGCUUCUGUUUCUGUAGAUGACACUGACAGAUGUGAAUAUUCACAUAAAAGCUGUCAAUAUGCAUGUUCCUUCCUACUACUUGUACCAAUUAAGCAAAGAGUGUAACGGAUGCAUAUUUUUCUAAAGAAUUUCUGUAUGUGUUCUCCGAUUAUUGGUCAGAAAUAAAAAUAUGUUUAUAAUGCAAAAUUCAUAAAAUGUGUAUAAAUGAUAAUGUAUAUGCCUAUAUAAGUGUGUGUUUUUCUGUGUAUACAUAUAUGUAUAUAUGAGUGUGUGUGUAUGUGUGUGCAUUUUUUUGUAACUGAUACUGUGGCCUUUUAUAUCUACCAAAAUCCAGGACUAGUUUAGAAAAGAAAUUACAGCAGCAUUCUAAAAUUUACUUGUUUGAUAUAAAUAUAUUUUUGUAACUUUUUUUGCCUGACAUUUGUGCUGUAAAUCAAAAGUACUUUUGUGAAAGCAAUUUUUUUAAACAAUCUUCUCUGAAAUUGUGUAGGAGGAAGUGAAUCGCUACCACUCAAUCCUGACAUUAAUUCAACAGACACAUAUUUUGAUUUCUGAAGAAUUAUGGAAACAUUCUUUCAGAAGAGAACAAUGAAAGAUAGCAUUCUGUGUUUAGCACAUUUCCCCUUUCCAAGUGGCAGUGGAGCGUUGUAACAGCAAAGUAAAUUGCUUCUUAUUUCUAUGUGCUUUUUAAAACUGUGACACUGACUGAGCUGAACCACCAAGACCACAUCUGUACACAGCUAAAUAAAAGGUUUUACAUGAUGGCAAAACUGGG
rnacentral:lncRNA from 1 species